rnacentral:rRNA from 1 species
AUUGAACGCUGGCGGCAGGCCUAACACAUGCAAGUCGAGCGGAGCGGCGAACGGGUUAGUAAUGCCUAGGAAUCUGCCUGGUCGUGGGGGAUAACGUCCGGAAACGGGCGCUAAUACCGCAUACUAUCAGAUGAGCCUAGGUCGGAUUAGCUAGUUGGUGGGGUAAAGGCCUACCAAGGGGACGAUCCGUAACUGGUCUGAGUGGAUGAUCAGUCACACUGGAACGGAGACACGGUCCAGACUCCUACGGGAGUCAGCAGUGAGGAAUAUUGGACAAUGGGCGGAAUCCUGAUCCAGCCAUGCGGCGUGUGUGAAGAAGGUCUUCGCAUUGUAUAACACUUUAAGUUGGGAGGCGUUACCAGCAGAAUAAGCACCGGCUAACUUCGUGCCAGCAGCCGCGGUAAUAC